rnacentral:rRNA from 1 species
AGUGGCGCACGGGUGCGUAACGCGUAUGCAACCUACCUUCCACUGGGGGAUAGCCCGGAGAAAUCCGGAUUAAUACCGCAUAACACCCUUCGAUGGCAUCUGAAGAGGGUUAAAGAUUUAUCGGUGGGAGAUGGGCAUGCGUGCCAUUAGCUUGUUGGCGGGGUAACGGCCCACCAAGGCUACGAUGGCUAGGGGUUCUGAGAGGACGGUCCCCCACACUGGCACUGAGAUACGGGCCAGACUCCUACGGGAGGCAGCAGUAGGGAAUAUUGGGCAAUGGGCGGAAGCCUGACCCAGCCAUGCCGCGUGCAGGAUGAAGGCCUUCUGGGUUGUAAACUGCUUUUACCAGGGAAGAAAACACCCAUGCGUGGGGAACUGACGGUACCUGGGGAAUAAGCACCGGCUAACUCCGUGCCAGCAGCCGCGGUAAUACGGAGGGUGCAAGCGUUGUCCGGAUUUAUUGGGUUUAAAGGGUGCGUAGGCGGCCCCUUAAGUCAGUGGUGAAAGCCCGCGGCUCAACCGCGGAACUGCCAUUGAUACUGGGGGGCUUGAGUACAGACGAGGUAGGCGGAAUUGAAGAUGUAGCGGUGAAAUGCUUAGAUAUCUUCAAGAACACCGAUUGCGUAGGCAGCUUACUAGGCUGUAACUGACGCUGAGGCACGAAAGCGUGGGGAGCGAACAGGAUUAGAUACCCUGGUAGUCCACGCCGUAAACGAUGAUUACUCGAUGUCGGCGAUAGACCGUCGGCGUCUUAGCGAAAGCGUUAAGUAAUCCACCUGGGGAGUACGCCCGCAAGGGUGAAACUCAAAGGAAUU